AUACUCUGUUUUUUUUUUCCGGUCGUAUAAAUGUUCUGUCUUUUACUAAAGAUUUCCGUGGAGAGGAACAUUUAUGAGUUUGUACCCAAUUUUUUGAGGCUUUGCUUUGGCGAGGCU
rnacentral:snRNA from 1 species